UACGAAGGGGGCUAGCGUUGUUCGGAAUUACUGGGCGUAAAGCGUGUGUAGGCGGUUUGGCAAGUCGGAUGUGAAAGCCCCGGGCUCAACUCGGGAAGUGCACUCGAUACUGCUAAACUUGAGUGUCGGAGAGGUUGGUGGAAUUCUCGGUGUAGAGGUGAAAUUCGUAGAUAUCGAGAGGAACACCGGUGGCGAAGGCGGCCAACUGGACGAACACUGACGCUGAGACACGAAAGCGUGGGGAGCAAACAGG
rnacentral:rRNA from 1 species